ACUAACAAGGAAUGUGAGAUGCAGUGUAUGGAAUGUCAAAUUUCUAAUAUGAGAAAUUAACGAUUUAAGUCCUUCUUAAAUGAGGCCAUUUACCCAAAGAGGGUGCCAGGCCCGUAUAACGUUAAUGAUUAUUAGAUGGCAUUUCCAAAGAGUCGUGUUGCUUGAUAGUGCAGCACUAAGUGGGUGGUAAACUCCAUCUAAAACUAAAUAUAACCAUGAGACCGAUAGUAAACAAGUACCGUGAGGGAAAGU
rnacentral:rRNA from 1 species